UACGUAGGGUGCAAGCGUUAUCCGGAUUUACUGGGCGUAAAGGGUUGCGUAGGCGGUUUGUUGAGUCAAAACUGAAAUACUUUCGCUUAACGGAAGGGACGGUUUUGAUACUAACAAACUUUGAGUCUUUCAGAGGUUACCGGAACUUGCAGUGGAGCGGUGAAAUGCGUUGAGAUUGCAAGGAACACCAAAGGCGUAGGCAGGUAACUGGGAAAGAUCUGACGCUGAUGCACGAAAGCUAGGGGAGCGA
rnacentral:rRNA from 1 species